rnacentral:rRNA from 1 species
GGCCAAUUCUGCACUGUGCAGUUUGCCGGUGUCGAGUUUGGUCAUCCGUAGGGGAAGCUAGUUCGGCCUUCACUGGUCGGUUAGGGGAACCUACAAUUUACUGUGAAAAAAUUAGAGUGUUUAAAGCAGGCAAUCGCUUGGAUACAUUAGCAUGGAAUAAUGAAAUAGGACGUUCGAUCCUAUUUUGUUGGUUUCUAGGAUUGACGUA